rnacentral:misc_RNA from 1 species
UGGCAUCGAUGAAGAACGCAGCGAAAUGCGAUAAGUAAUGUGAAUUGCAGAAUUCAGUGAAUCAUCGAAUCUUUGAACGCACAUUGCGCCCGCCAGUAUUCUGGCGGGCAUGCCUGUUCGAGCGUCAUUUCAACCCUCAAGCCCCCGGGUUUGGUGUUGGGGAUCGGCACAACGGCCUCGCCAGAGGACGCGCCGGCCCCUAAAUCUAGUGGCGGUCUCGCUGCAGCCUCCAUUGCGUAGUAGCUAACACCUCGCAACUGGAACGCGGCGCGGCCAAGCCGUUAAACCCCCAACUUUUUCUGAAUGUUGACCUCGGAUCAGGUAGGAAUACCCGCUGAACUUAAGCAUAUCAAUAAGCGGAGGA